rnacentral:rRNA from 1 species
AGCGAACGCUGGCGGCAGGCUUAACACAUGCAAGUCGAACGCCCCGCAAGGGGAGUGGCAGACGGGUGAGUAACACGUGGGAACGUACCCUUUGGUUCGGAAUAACUUGGGGAAACUCAAGCUCAUACCGGAUAAGCCCUUCUGGGGAAAGGUUUACUGCCGAAGGAUCGGCCCGCGUCUGAUUAGCUAGUUGGUGAGGUAACGGCUCACCAAGGCGACGAUCAGUAGCUGGUCUGAGAGGAUGAUCAGCCACACUGGGACUGAGACACGGCCCAGACUCCUACGGGAGGCAGCAGUGGGGAAUAUUGGACAAUGGGGGCAACCCUGAUCCAGCCAUGCCGCGUGAGUGAUGAAGGCCUUAGGGUUGUAAAGCUCUUUUACCCGGGACGAUAAUGACUGUACCGGGAGAAUAAGCCCCGGCUAACUUCGUGCCAGCCGCCGCGGUAA